UGCAAUGAUGGUGUAAUUUGCGUCUGACCCCGUGUUCAGUGACAGUUGCCUGUUGUCUUCAUGCUGUCAUGGGUGGCUGAUAGCAGCUAUAGUCUGAGCA
ensembl:snoRNA SNORD16 Small nucleolar RNA SNORD16